AUUGAACGCUGGCGGCAUGCUUUACACAUGCAAGUCGAACGGUAACAGGCCGCAAGGUGCUGACGAGUGGCGAACGGGUGAGUAAUGCAUCGGAACGUGCCCAGUCGCGGGGGAUAACUACUCGAAAGAGUAGCUAAUACCGCAUACGAUCUAUGGAUGAAAGCGGGGGACCGUAAGGCCUCGCGCCAUUGGAGCUGCCGAUGUCAGAUUAGGUAGUUGGUGGGGUAAAGGCUCACCAAGCCAACGAUCUGUAGCUGGUCUGAGAGGACGACCAGCCACACUGGGACUGAGACACGGCCCAGACUCCUACGGGAGGCAGCAGUGGGGAAUUUUGGACAAUGGGCGCAAGCCUGAUCCAGCAAUGCCGCGUGCAGGAAGAAGGCCUUCGGGUUGUAAACUGCUUUUGUACGGAACGAAACGGCUCUGGUUAAUACCCGGGGCUAAUGACGGUACCGUAAGAAUAAGCACCGGCUAACUACGUG
rnacentral:rRNA from 1 species